AUCUUUACGCUUGGGGAAAUGACGUAGCCAGUGAGGUUCUAACCGAAGUGCAUCAAUUGUUGGUUGAAAUCUAUUCCCAAACCCUCUCUUUGUCCUUGGUUAAUUCCUUGGCCAUUGUAAAUUUUUGAAAGGGCUUUUCCUUCAUAGUAAAGGCC
rfam:Capsicum annuum cultivar Zunla-1 chromosome 12, whole genome shotgun sequence